rnacentral:rRNA from 1 species
UACGAACCGUGCAAACGUUGUUCGGAUUCACUGGGCUUAAAGGGCGCGUAGGCGGGCCAUCAAGUCAGGGGUGAAAUCUUUCGGCUCAACCGGAAAAGUGCCUUUGAUACUGGUGGUCUCGAGGGAGGUAGGGGCAUGCGGAACUUCCGGUGGAGCGGUGAAAUGCGUAGAUAUCGGAAGGAACGCCGGUGGCGAAAGCGGCGUGCUGGACCUCUUCUGACGCUGAGGCGCGAAAGCUAGGGGAGCAAACGGG